rnacentral:tRNA from 1 species
CAAAUCAGAGCUUGCUAAAGCAUUUUAUUUACACUAAAAAGUUAAUUGUUAAUUCAGUUUGGUUUGA